rnacentral:ribozyme from 2 species
UUCAUAAUGCUACCAUUAAGGCGGUUGCAAGUCCGAUUGUAAAAAGCAGAGCAGGAA